AUAGUAUAGAAACCGCAUAUUGUGGGUUAUAAGUAAACUUAGGUUUCACCUAACGGUAGCGAGUCUAAAUAAAGGA
rfam:Eubacterium sp. CAG:581 genomic scaffold, scf103